UACGUAGGGUGCAAGCGUUAAUCGGAAUUACUGGGCGUAAAGCGUGCGCAGGCGGCUUUGCAAGACAGAUGUGAAAUCCCCGGGCUUAACCUGGGAACUGCAUUUGUGACUGCAUGGCUAGAGUGCGGCAGAGGGGGAUGGAAUUCCGCGUGUAGCAGUGAAAUGCGUAGAUAUGCGGAGGAACACCGACGGCGAAGGCAAUCCCCUGGGCCUGCACUGACGCUCAUGCACGAAAGCGUGGGGAGCAAACAGG
rnacentral:rRNA from 1 species